GCUUGUCUCAAAGAUUAAGCCAUGCAUGUCUAAGUAUAAAUAACUACACAGUAAAACUGCGAAUGGCUCAUUAAAACAGUUAUAGUUUAUUUGAUACAUUAUAAAUGGAUAACUGUAGAAACACUAGAGCUAAUACAUGCCAAGACCGUAAGGUUGUAUUUAUUAGAUAUUCCAAGUAGGUGAUUCAUAAUAACUUUCGGAUCGACUUCGGUCGAUGCAUCAUUCAAGUUUCUGCCCUAUCAGCUUUGGAUGGUAGGGUAUUGGCCUACCAUGGCUUUAACGGGUAACGGAGAAUUAGGGUUCGAUUCCGGAGAGGGAGCCUGAGAAAUGGCUACCACAUCCAAGGAAGGCAGCAGG
rnacentral:rRNA from 1 species